rnacentral:rRNA from 1 species
CAGUCGCCGCGGGAACACGGAGGGUGCAAGCGUUAUCCGGAUUUAUUGGGUUUAAAGGGUCCGUAGGCGGAUCUGUAAGUCAGUGGUGAAAUCUCACAGCUUAACUGUGAAACUGCCAUUGAUACUGCAGGUCUUGAGUAAAUUUGAAGUGGCUGGAAUAAGUAGUGUAGCGGUGAAAUGCAUAGAUAUUACUUAGAACACCAAUUGCGAAGGCAGGUCACUAAGAUUUAACUGACGCUGAUGGACGAAAGCGUGGGGAGCGAACAGGAUUAGAUACCCCAGUAGUCCCUGUCUCUUAUAC